GUCCAAGUGUACGACUACGAGCGGUAGACCGCAUGUUACAGCUGCUAUGUGAAUUUUGGAACUACACGCUUUUUAGAUUCGAUGGACCGAAUACUCUUUUCGUCAGCCAGAAAAAAAAUAGAGAACAGCUGCUUAAUUGUCUCUCUAGCCUAAGGAAUACUAAAAAUCAACUGGAAAUCCACGAUCUACAAGAUGGCAAUCAUUGGGUAAAUUAUUUUGAAAUAAACACCAUUGCGUUACGCAAAGUGCUGAGCACGCUACAGCACUCGGACGAAAUGGGAGGCCGUAAGAUCUAU